GACGAACGCUGGCGGCGUGCUUAACACAUGCAAGUCGAACGGAAAGGCCCUGCUUUUGUGGGGUGCUCGAGUGGCGAACGGGUGAGUAACACGUGAGUAACCUGCCCUUGACUUUGGGAUAACUUCAGGAAACUGGGGCUAAUACCGGAUAGGAGCUCCUGCUGCAUGGUGGGGGUUGGAAAGUUUCGGCGGUUGGGGAUGGACUCGCGGCUUAUCAGCUUGUUGGUGGGGUAGUGGCUUACCAAGGCUUUGACGGGUAGCCGGCCUGAGAGGGUGACCGGCCACAUUGGGACUUAGAUACGGCCCAGACUCCUACGGGAGGCAGCAGUGGGUAAUAUUGCACAAUGGGCGGAAGCCUGAUGCAGCAACGCCGCGUGCGGGAUGACGGCCUUCGGGUUGUAAACCGCUUUCGCCUGUGACGAAGCGUGAGUGACGGUAAUGGGUAAAGAGGCACCGGCUAACUACGUG
rnacentral:rRNA from 1 species